GAUAUUGGACAACGCACCACAAGGUUAUUACAAAACAGGAAAAGCUUUUGUCAUCAAACAGAAAUGGUCAAAUCAUAUUAAUCCGAUCAAACAAAAGGAAACAAAACAUUUCAAGAAACAUGGAAGGUCAAAGCAGAUAACUUGAAACUAAAUCAUCUCCGGGACUCAUACAAGCACACAAAGAUUUGACUUUUACGAUUAUUUAUUCAAAAACAACACCUGGAAAUGAAAAUUGAAAUCAAUCCAGAGAAGAGUAAAGGUUGAAGAUUUGAACAAACCUCUCAAAAGACUCCGGUGGUAAGAACUGAAACAUGAAAGAUCCGCAGAAGGAGCAGCAGAUCUGGUGGAGUCCUCGCCGCCUUCUUUGGAGAUGGUGUGAUCUCUGGAAAGGACGAAGGAGGUCGCGGUGGAAGAUCUCUGCUGAAGAGACAAAAGCCUCCUCCCUGCAACUCGCAGCAUCUUCUCUGAGUUCUCUCAAUGGGUAAGGUGAGGUUAGGACUGGUCUCGAUGCCCAAAUAAAAAAAAAAGAUGACACCUUUAUAGAGAAAAUGUCAAAUCACUUUUGGUUUUGUAGCAUCGUGGCACCUUAAUGUACUUAUGUUUGUUAUUAUUCCUCGUGACUCAUUAUGUUACCAAACUAAUGUAAACAAAGGACAAAAUAAUCUGAUUGGUUCAUAAUCUCCAAAGGCUUUAUUUUGAAGCAAACAACAAUUUGUAAAAAUGCAAUAACAAACUUCCAAAAGUGUUUUAUAUGUUUGUUUGUUUGUUUCCCAAGAGGAGGAGGGUGAUAAUUUAUUUGUCAACAGGUUUGCAAAAAAACAUGUUUCUUUAGGGGGAAAUUUAUCAGAGGUUGGUGAAGUCAACAGGUUCACGGAGGAGCCUCUCCAUCUGCUGUGCCCUUGUCCUGAUAGACAUGUCCAGCACCUUUUGUUGAAACUCUACUAUUAACCCUCCAUAGAUACUCGGAUCAAUCUGCCAUAACAAAACAAACAUGUAUUAGAUUCCAGCUUCACAAUCACAAGCCAAUAAUCACCAUUACAUACCUUUUGUUCCACAGUUACUUUCUUCCCUUCUCCGAUUAUCUCCUGAAGUGUCUCCUUAAGCUCCUUCUCCUCAGCAGGAGGCAGCGGCUGUUUGUCAACAAAAAAAUAAAAAACAUUUUGCUGUUUAAAUCCUGAUGAUGGUUACGGUUUCUUUAAGUAGUCAAACUAUAUCUUACCAUGACUGUGGUAACCAAAACCUUGACGUCUCCUCUAUGUGCUGUCGUCAGCUGCAUGAAUUUCUUCACAAUCACGUCUAGGUUCUUCAGCUUCCCAUUCUCAGCUAACAAAGCUGUUUAACAAUAAAAAGUAUAUCAAAAUCACAACAAACAUGCUCAGUCAAAAUCAUAAACAAGCAAUCAGUUGUGACAUACAGAGGAAGUUCUUGGUGGGUUCUGCAAACUUUGCUUUGUCACAAACAUCGACAAUAGCAGCGAGUCUUGUCUCUCUAGGAACAGAGGGAUCCUUAGUAAACUGCGCAAAAAUAGGACUAGUCUUCAUAGCCUCAACCAGCUCAGAGAGAUCAGUCUCAAUCUUCUCCAAGGAGUUCAUUUUCACAGCUGCGAUGUACAGCCACGAAGCAAAGUUGCCAGAUUCACCAACUAAUGCCACAGGCACCUGAAUAGCAAACAUUACACAAAACACAAUUGUAUUAAAACAACAACAAAGUAUAAAUCCACCAGAUACACUUCCAGUGAUAUAUCAAUGCAUAAUACAUUAUACAUCGAUUCAUUUCAUGCCUAUGCAAUAAUCCAAAGCCAUUUGAAGAGACUAUCACAUGUAAGAAGUACAUGGAUGCAUAUAGUAAGUGCGUGUACCUUAACAUUGACGGUGUUCUGAGCAGAAGCAGUUGCAUAAUCUCUCAACUGCGAUUAAAAAGUAAAGAUUUUUAUUAAAUUGAUUACAUCUCUCCGGAAAACCUCAGGACUACCAAUUAGGAAUCUUCUAAAACAUAGAACAAUGUAAACUCGUCAACACAUUCCAUCCUCUCGUGUAAUCAGGCCAAUCAGAUUCUUGUAAAGAUUGAUGCAUUAUUACAAGAACAAGAACAACAAAAAGUGGUAUUGAGAUUCGAUUUGUUUUUUUUUUUUUUUAAAUGAUUACCGAAGGGAUAAGCGAGCCUCCACGGGGGUAAGAUCUAGCAUCAGAGACGGAGAUGUUCUUGAAGAAGGAGAUUCCGGAUCUGAUACGACCAGCCAACGCCAUUUUUUUUGUUGUUGCAGAUUAAUCUGAUUGGAACCCUAGAGACAAUCAAUCAGCUGUUCUGUCGGAGAGAGUAUAGAGAAGGAGACUGGUCAGCGGAGUGAUUUGGGCUUCACUGGGCUUUCCUACGUUUGGUUUUAGUUAUUGGACUUUUUCACGUUUAUUUUAUUGGGCUUACUGCAGCCAUAAAAAGAUAGAGAUAUUAAUUUGUAGAAAGAUGAAAUUGGAUAGGCUGUAACAGUUGGGAUAAUUUUGUUUGUUUGCCAUCUGAACAAAUAUGCAGUGCGUUGUCACUGACAUUUUUGGUUACCAAUUUUACAAAUAUGAAGUGCAUUGUAAAUUUUCGCAACGAAGCUCUAACGUUAAAAGUUAACACGGUUAAUAUCGUUUAUAUCCUUAAUGAAUAAAUUAGAUAAAAUAAAAAAACGAAUUUAGUGUUUAUUUGAUUAGAUAUGUGCUUACAAUUAAUAAAAAUAAAGAUUAUCCAUAAUUUAAAAAUAUAUUUAAAAUAAAAAAAUAAUUCUUAUAUAUAUUAUAUUGUUAUCUUAAAAAAAACAGAAAAUACAUAAUUAAAUAUUAAAUAAAAUUAUUGAUUCUAUAUAAUUGAAAGAGAAUAUCAAGUGAUCUCUAAGAUUUAUAUAUUAUUUAUUAAUAAUGAGUAUAGUGUACAAACGAAUUUUAAAAAUUUGCAAUACAUAAGAAUUUUCAAUGAAAACAUAAAUAAUAAUUUAAAACUAUUAUUUGCGAAGUAAUUUUCGCAACGAAACUCUCACAUUAAAAGUUAGCACGGUUAAUAUCGUUUAUACCCUUAAUGAAAAAUUAAAUAAACUAGAUAAAAUAAAAUAAGGAAUUUAGUGUUUAUUUGAUUAGAUAAGUGCUUACAACUAAUAAAAAUAAAAAAAUUCCAUAAUUUAAAAAUAUAUUUAAGAGAAAAGAUAAUUCCUAUAUAUAUUGUGUUGUUAUCCUUUUUAAAAAACAGAAAAUGCAUAAUUAAAUAUUAAGUAAAAUUAUUAAUUCUAUAUAAUUGAAAGAGAAUAUUAAGUAACCUCUAAGAUUUUUAUAUUAUUUAUUAAUAAAGAAUAUAAUGUACAAAUGAAUUUUAAAAAUUUGUAAUACAUAAGAUUUUCAAUGAAAACAUAAAUAAUAAUUUAAAAUUAUAAUUCUUUAAUUAAUAAUACAUGUAUUAAUAAGUAGUUAUAAAAUUUAUAUGCCCGCAUGUGCGGGUGAAACACCUAGUAAGUCUUAGAAGUUGACUUAUAUGGCAGUGUCUUAAAAACCACACGAUUUGUUGUUAAGAUAAACAUUAGGAUGGUCUUGAUUUUGAUAUAACUACGUUAAUUUCACAUUUUUCUAGCAAAAAGUUAGUUAAAUCUGUUAAAGUGGUUAAUAAACUGAUCUAGUAGCUAUUCUUGGAUGUUUCAUCUUUGACAUGUAUAAGAAGAGUGACAUGUUAAAGACAAAUCUAUGGCGAUGCAGAUCUUUUAACACAUAGACAAAGAUUAGAGGAGAAUUUUACCAAAAAAAAAAAAGAUUAGAGGAGAAGUGGGAGGGGUAGAACAAUAAUUUCUCGGGGGUGCAACAUGAAGUGUCUCUGGAAGUGUCACGUUAACUUGUCGGCACUGUGGAGAAGACAACAACCUUCUCUUUCAAAACCAGCCACCAUAGUCACCAGCAUUAGGCAAAGGGAUGCACCCCAAAUGAGUGCAGACCCCAACCACCACCAACCACUCUGGAUUCUUCACCCUCACCGAGUCCUCUUGCGGGUCUCUCAGAGAUCCAAGAUCCACACUGUUAGCCAGCUUGAUGUCAUCUUCCGUUCUACGUCUAAUAAAGACAGGCUUUCCACGCCACUUCACUGUCACAGUUGUUCCCGGUUCGAUGCUACCGAGGUCUACCUCGAGGGAAGCAAGGGCAAGGACAUCUUUACUCGCGGACAUGCUGACAAUGAGCUUCAGGACAAGAAGGCGGAGAACAGAGGCGUAGACAAACCUCCCACCGGACAAGACGAAAUAGGCGAAGGCACGCUUGCUAGGGUCACCAGGUGGGUAACGCUCAUGGUUGUGGUCAUCGUACACAAUCUUCGAGUUAGGUGUCUUGACAGCCUCAACGGUGGCUGGGACUUCAGAAGCAAAACCUAUCUCGUUUCCUUGAGUAAUGACUUGAGAAGAGAAACCUGAUAAUAGCAUGAACAACAUUAAUAUAUUAUUUCACAUAAAGGCAAAAACUUUACUUACCGGUCAAGUGUUCUACAACAAUAGUAUUAAGUAACAAACGGGUCAGCAAAUAACACUGAAGAAAGAACUACCGCUACAACAUUAAUAUAUAUAACCUUCUAAGGAGAAGCACAAGUACAUAAACUUUUAAAUCAUUAAAGUAAAAUACAUCCCAGCAAUUCUACUCUAAUAAGCUAAUCAACACAAAAAUCAAGAAACAAAUUCAAUGAUCAAAUGACUGAAAUACUCACAAGAAAAGUUCUCAAAGCUAAGACUACAAGCACAGAACAAAGAUACUAAUUCAAGAUUCCUAUACUGAUAUAGUUAACAUGAUGUGCAUAAACCAUCAUCCAUCUCCCAAACAAUGAACACACACACAAGUUACAAGUUUUAUAAAAUUCAAGAAGCCAAUGUGAAUCUCACUUAUGGAUAUUGGACAACGCACCACAAGGUUAUUACAAAACAGGAAAAGCUUUUGUCAUCAAACAGAAAUGGUCAAAUCAUAUUAAUCCGAUCAAACAAAAGGAAACAAAACAUUUCAAGAAACAUGGAAGGUCAAAGCAGAUAACUUGAAACUAAAUCAUCUCCGGGACUCAUACAAGCACACAAAGAUUUGACUUUUACGAUUAUUUAUUCAAAAACAACACCUGGAAAUGAAAAUUGAAAUCAAUCCAGAGAAGAGUAAAGGUUGAAGAUUUGAACAAACCUCUCAAAAGACUCCGGUGGUAAGAACUGAAACAUGAAAGAUCCGCAGAAGGAGCAGCAGAUCUGGUGGAGUCCUCGCCGCCUUCUUUGGAGAUGGUGUGAUCUCUGGAAAGGACGAAGGAGGUCGCGGUGGAAGAUCUCUGCUGAAGAGACAAAAGCCUCCUCCCUGCAACUCGCAGCAUCUUCUCUGAGUUCUCUCAAUGGGUAAGGUGAGGUUAGGACUGGUCUCGAUGCCCAAAUAAAAAAAAAAGAUGACACCUUUAUAG
rnacentral:lncRNA from 1 species